GUGAAGGGGAACUGCAGUCAGUUGGAACGAGCUAUCGCUCCUAUGGUCAUGUGACUAUGCUUUAAUACACUUGUGGCAUGCGACUCUGCCUCAUUCUGCUGGAGGAGGCCUCACACUGACAUGUUUCCUGCAGCCCUUUUUUUGAUGCUUCUUCUACACUCAGGUGUCAGUGUCGUAGUCCUUCAGCCCAGAGAUCACAUCGCUCCUCCUGGAGUCACAGCGGUGCUGGAGUGCAGCCUGGGUCCAGGGGCCAGCAUGGGAAGCCAGACCAUGUACUGGUACCGACAGAACCACCACGGAGCUCCAGUGGAGUUCCUCACUAGAGAAUAUGAGCAAACCAAGGGCCGCAUCCAGUCGACUAUAGAUACAUCUAAAAACAACUUCUCUCUUCAGAUCACUGAGCUGCUCCUCAGUGACAGCAGCACCUACUACUGCGCUGCCACUCACAGUGUUUCACACAGAUCAGACCAUCAUACAAAUAUCACGCCUGCCUGUCACAGCUGGCAUCCAGGCAGGAAGGAGCUGUAGUCUGAUGAUUCCUUGAUAAGGAAAUGACAUACAGCUUGUUUAAUAAGUCAUUCUACAGAACCUUUUAAACUGAGAAUCACUUCUCCCACAUGUGCUUAUUUUUGUUGACUGUAAAUAAACGCCAAACAUAGAGAGUAACACACAGUAAUGCUACUUUAUAUGAUUUGCACAACAUAACUCUUGAUGUUGCGCUAAGUGUCCACUAGGCGACUGUACGCGUACAGAUGAACCUGCCUGAACCGAGGACCAGUAUAAAUGCUGGAAGCGACUGUGGAUGCACAGAACCGCUCU